GGUGACAGAGGUAUGGCUGUAAGGGAGGAUGACAGAGAGGUAUGGCUGUAAGGGAGGAUGACAGAGAGGUAUGGCUGUAAGGGAGGAUGACAGAGAGGUAUGGCUGUAAGGGAGGAUGACA